UACGUAGGGUGCAAGCGUUGUCCGGAAUUAUUGGGCGUAAAGAGCUCGUAGGCGGUCUGUUGCGUCGGCUGUGAAAACCCGGGGCUCAACUCCGGGCCUGCAGCCGAUACGGGCAGACUAGAGUUCGGCAGGGGAGACUGGAAUUCCUGGUGUAGCGGUGAAAUGCGCAGAUAUCAGGAGGAACCCCGGUGGCGAAGGCGGGUCUCUGGGCCGAUACUGACGCUGAGGAGCGAAAGCGUGGGGAGCGAACAGG
rnacentral:rRNA from 1 species